ACCGUCGCGAAUUACUACGAUCAGUCCGAGUUCGUCGCGAAAUUUUUGAACUUGUGGCUAACGAUUAAAGGUGAAACUAGUGAAUAUUAUUACAAACUAUUUGAAAGUGCUGUCGAAUAUUUGGGAAUACUGUGGAGUGAUUUAGAAUUAAGUGUACGAAGGUGUCCAGGAAAUUAUCGGUUUCGAGAUGGGCUAAGGUUAUUUAGUGUUCUAUUUUAUCAUUGAAAAACAAUCUCGAAUGCUCAUCGCGAAUGGGCUCGACAACGGAGGAAACAGCGAACUGACGUCUCGACGUUGGAGUUACAGGUACCUUUUGAAGUGUUUUGUUGAUACAUUGUUUAUGUGCACCUUCGCAGUGGUGCACCGUCAUAGCUGUAUGUUCAUUGCGUGCCUUAUUUGCGCUGUAGAUCAGCUGAUCUAAACACGCCUAAUCGAUUACCUGAAAGGUCCUCCAAUUCAUAGCAAUGUGCACCCAAUUUCGCUACUACCUUUGCUGGAGAGUACGUUUCAGCUAGCUUCGAGUUAAAGUUUUUGGCUUUGUUGGAUAGAAAGAAGUUCUUUUUGAGGAUUAUUUCUCCCACUUUGAAAUCUGACGUUGCCGCUCUAGCCCGAAGGUUAUAGUAUUUACUAUACUUUUCGUAGGCUUUUUUCAGAUUGUUUCUGACUUUUUCGUACACCUGUUUCAUUUCAUCGUUCAA